UGGGGAAUAUUGCACAAUGGGGGAAACCCUGAUGCAGCGACGCCGCGUGAACGAAGAAGGUAUUCGUAUCGUAAAGUUCUGUCCUAUGGGAAGAUAAUGACAGUACCAUAGAAGAAAGCUCCGGCUAAAUACGUUCCAGCAGCCGCGGUAAUACGUAUGGAGCGAGCGUUGUCCGGAAUUAUUGGGCGUAAAGGGUACGCAGGCGGUUUAAUAAGUCGAAUGUUAAAGAUCGGGGCUCAACCCCGCAAAGCAUUGGAAACUGAUAAACUUGAGUAGUGGAGAGGAAAGUGGAAUUCCUAGUGUAGUGGUGAAAUACGUAGAUAUUAGGAGGAAUACCAGUAGCGAAGGCGACGUUCUGGACACAAACUGACGCUGAGGUACGAAAGCGUGGGGAGCAAACAGG
rnacentral:rRNA from 1 species